rnacentral:rRNA from 1 species
GCGUCAGUCGCAAGAUGAAGCGUUGAAUUGAAGCCCGAGUAAACGGCGGCCGUAACUAUAACGGUCCUAAGGUAGCGAAAUUCCUUGUCGGUUAAAUACCGACCUGUAUGAAUGGCGUAACGAGAUGGGAGCUGUCUCAACCAGAGAUUCAGUGAAAUUGUAGUGGAGGUGAAAAUUCCUCCUACCCGCGGCAAGACGGAAAGACCCCGUGGACCUUUACUACAACUUAGCACUG